AGCUCUGUCUAAAAAGUUUUAAAUGAGUUAUUAAAUGACAAGAAACUAUCUAUUUUUGUGUUAAAAUUGAAGUCUAAACUUAUUGAAAGGUUCUGGAACAUGAUGUAUUCGUUUUGAGUGUUUGUUAACCAAGAUCUGUGGCUAAAAUUAUCUGUUUUGACUGGCAGGUCAAUGCCAAAAGGCCACGGAUUGACUUUUGAUUGAAUUUUCCUUUUUAUUCUCUCAGGUAUGUUUUUUAUCCAUGUUUCUGUUAAUAUUGUUGUCUUGAAUUCAUAUAAAAUGUUUUAUAGUGAGAAAAAUAUUAAUGUUAAAUCUAAAUAUUGUUGAUCUGAUCAUAUGCAGUUCAUCUGAAAAUUGUAAUAUAACGUGCAGUUCGCGGUAAGCGCAGCUGGGGAAAGGUCAAUGCCAAAAGGCCACGGAUUGACUUUUGAAUGAAUUUUCCUUUUUAUUCUUUUGAAAUAAAAAACAUGUGGUCUGAGGAAUUUCUGUUCUCCGGUCUCUUAAAUAAACAUCACAACGCAGAGUGAAGGCGCAGACCGGUCACACACACAGAACACGAAUGUGCUUCUCCUUCGUAUGAACUCUCAGUAUGAACUCUCAUGUGAGUCACAAGACAACGUUUGCUUUUGAGACUCUUCCCACAAUGAUCACAUGCGUAUCCUUUGAAGCUGCACUGAAACUAAUUUUGACCUUCAACCGUUUGGAGUCCAUUGAAGUCCAAAUGAAAUUAAAUGAUACAUGUGAAAAAAAUGUAUUUACUUACCGCUUGUAGUACAAAAUGGGUUCAAGUGUACUGUAAGUGGUAUCUAAAUACAUGUUUUUAAAUACAGAGAUAGUACAUUAAAAGCACAUUUUAGUUCAUCUUUCAUGGUAUCUCAAAAUAGCACAGUUGAGUACACUUAAAUGUUCUUAAUAUUAUCUUAAGUACUAAAGAAGAAUUUUUAGCAGGGCUGGACAAUUAAUCGAAAAGUUAUCAAAACCGAAAUUCAGAACCUCUAAUCAACGUAAUUUUCCGAUGUCGGUUAUUUCGGGUUUUUUUUUAAUCCUGUUAAUGCUUUCCCCUUAAAAACAUACUACCGCGUGUGUAGUCACGUGACUCCGCCCCGUCCAGUCAGUGGCAUGGAAGCAACACGGAGGCAAGUGCCGAGUCAACACACACAGUCGGCGCAGGAGCGGUAAUUUUUAGUAUAUUAACAAAUAUAGUAUAUAACAUAUUACAGAAUUAGUGCACAAAAAUAGAGCACUUUAAGUACAUUAGGGUACUUUUUUCCACCUGGGUGACUUAACAUUUAAUUUACAGCAGAUCUGAAGACAUCAGCAUGAGAAAUGGGGUGAAAACAUAAACUAUUGGCAUGUAAUAAUUAGUCUUUAGGAUAUAUGUUAAUAUAAGGCACGAUGAAGCACAGCUCAGGUUUGUUUAUAUUCACCUUCUUCCGCCCACUUUUAAUACUUCGCUCUUCCGCAUUUUAUCAUCCGACUUCCGCUAAACAGACGCGUAGCUAGUUCAGUCGUUAGAAGAUUGUUUAUAGCUGGCUAUUACUUUAGCAAAAUGACAAAGUUAAUCCCGUAAAUGUUUUAAAUUGGGAGCACGGAGAAACAUCAUACGAAGAUCAGAUGGUCUUAUAUUGUCCCAUCCAUCGUCGUUGUUAACAUGGGUAGACGAUAUGAAGAAGUGGCCGGAGGUAACCUAUGGGGACAUUUUCAACUACUUUGUCCUGUGAGGGUGAUUUCGUCUUUUUAAAAGCAAAUGUGCACCCCAGUCAGUCGAGCAGUCCAAACCACUCUGCGUGGGUGCUAGUUAGUAACCAGAGAUCAGUGGAGACUACUGGAUGUUCGUGCAUCACUGGUUUGAGAAGGUCGUGUAGCCACGCAGCCUCAAUAUUAUGGAAGGUAAGACUAUCACACACACUAUUAUUAUUAUUAUUAUUAUUAUUAUUAUUAUUAUUAACGUUUUGUUAACAUAAGUGUGUUAUAAAUGUAUACAUUUAAGAAUAUUAACAUGUGUUUGUGACAUAUACACAGCUGCUGAACUGAUGACCAUCUGCAGGCUAAGUUUCUUGUCAAAUCUCUUACUUGAGUAAGGUAAGUGAAUGGUGUCCAGGGUAGGGUUGCACCAGCUGACGGUAAGCUUUCUUAAGAGUAAUUUAAGAGUUUUUGCUCUCGGUCAGGAUAUUCAUGAGGUAGUCAGUCAGAUCACGGCCAGCCAAGUACAGAUUUACUGCUAACAGUCUUUUAUUCUGUCACAGCGUGUUGCAAAUCAAGUAAGACGCAGGAUGUAAGUGCAAGCAGUUUUAAGUUUAUUUUAACAAAGAACUCAGGAUACAUAAAAAAGCAGGAAAGAACAACCUCCUAAACGCAACAAUAACAGAUAGCUGAACUCAACUAAACACAGGGCUUAAACACACAGUGAACUGAGGAUCUAAUUAACAAGACACAGCGGGACACACCUGAACUGAAACUCUAAUCAAAUGAGACACCAUGGAAACAAACAGGCAAAGGACAGAAUUAACAGUACAAGAAAACCAGCGUAGACUCAAACAAUGAACAGAAACACAGAGCCAAAACAAACUCUAAACAUUGGAUAUUUACAGUAGAUUUGUUCAUGUCAUAUUUAUAGUCAUCAAUUUUGUUUAUGCGUAGUUUGCAGUGUCGAGAAUUUUAACCAAUCACACACAUUUCUGAUGAGCUUAGGAAUUCAAUGUCCAAUCAGAGGCGUUUUGAUUCAUCGCAGCGCAAAUGCUGGUGUCAUGAAGGUUGCACGCGCUUACUGACUGAAUUCUGAAUCUGAACUCGUGAAUUCUCUCUUAUCAUCAUAAACAACAAAAUGCAGAAAAGAUGUACUUAAGAGAUUCAUUUUGCUGUAUAUGUAACCCCUCUACCCAGGUCCUACUUGCCCCGCUCUGCGCGGGCCUCAAACCUGGGUUUCUGGCGUGGGAGUCGGACGCUCUAACAAGGAGGGUAAAGGCUGCAACCUCUAGAGUCAGUCGCUAAAGCAUCACUUGAGAUCAGAGGAGUGAGGUUUACUCGCACAGCGACUACUAGCUGGCCUCAGAUACACUCACCCCCCUAAACCUCACUCCCAUCUGGGUCACGGCACCAAUGUGACAGUGUGUGUUGGAUGGAGUAAUUUGCAGUGAGAUCAGGAGGAUGGUCACUCAUAGUUUUACUGGGCCUGAGACAAGACUGGGACAAACAGCACCAAAAGGCUGAUCAGCAUACAGUGCAUCGAUGUUGCAUGAACAGUCAGCAGCACGAGAUAUGUGGCUCUGCUGAUUACACAUUUUUACAAAAUGAUUGUGAACAUAUAGUGGACAAUUCUAAAUAAAACAUACAUUAAAUAAAAUAAAAUAUAAAACA